GCUGCGGAUCCUGGACGUCACCCGCUCUGGCCCGUGCGUGCGGCGGGUGAGUGGCCCCGGGGUCUCCGCGGCCGAGGCGCUGGGACGCCCUUCCUGACAGCCGGUCUCCCGGCACGUAGCGCUCGCCUGACUCAGCGCUGAGUCACCGCUCCCGCGGACUCCCGCUUCGCCCUGCACAGCCAGAGGCUGCCGGGCUCCGUGCACGCCGAGGCCGAGCCCUCAGUGCUGCAGACCGGUCUCUGCGCUUCCCGGAGCAGCGCAGGGUUUACAGCUUUUGAAUCCCGACCAAGCCCAGCACUAACUUCCUGCGUUGUUUUCUUUGCCUUAAGGGCUGACUAGUCUAGGGAUCAAAUUCUUCCAUCGAAGCUUGUUGGCGCAAAUCCCGGCUUUGUCCUUGAACAGUGACUUUGAGAUGAUCUUCGUUUGGAUUUUUUUAAUACUUCCGCGGUUCCAAACUUCUGUCUUAUUUAUGCCCUCCGUUUCCUAAGGUUAUCUUUUCAGUGUGUUUGGUAACUAAUCUUGUCAUAAAGCCACACUGCGGUGACGCAAGUCAGGUUGGAAUCUGGCAUGGUGUACAGGCAGUGACUUACUGUAAAAUCCAGGGCCUUCAUCGCGACAUCCUAUCUGUCAUCUCAGGCACUGAUUAGCUUCCUUGCCCUUGGAGAGGUCCCGGGGAUUUAGAAGGCCUGUUGAAAUCUGUCUUUAUAGCGGCCAUGUUUCUUGCUUCCUCCUCGGAGUUUAAAAUGAAGAGAACGAUAGAUAAGCAUUUCUGCAAACGUAGCUUGGACCACCUGUCCCAGAGCACAAUUUUACUCCAAACUGCAGCUGCAGAAUGUCCUGAAUAAAACUAGAAACCGGCCACCUGCCAGUGAAACACGUGAUCCGCAAAGCCUACCAGAGGAUAGGAGGAAAGCAGUUUUCCUAGACUGAACACACAGACCACGUUGGUUCUGGUGUUCUUAUUCAUCUUUCUGUCUAAAAUACUGGAAAGGUAAAAUGCGGGGCGGCCACAUAAAAUAUCAGCGUACUGUUAUAGUGAUAGCCAUUUACAUCGCUGUUGAUAUGGUAGAGAUGGAACCGAAGGCCUGAUGCUCUAAUCAGACACUGCUACACAGCUAUAGCCUCAGCAGGAAGUUGUUCCGACUUCCGAUCCCUGGACAUUUUCAUUUCUCUGGGAAACUCUUCCAGCUUCAUCUUUGCUAGCAUUGGAGCAAACUCCCCAACAAGCCCUUGUUGGUCCAAGUAGAGUUCUUGGACCAGCAACCCAGCAUCACAAAGUAGCUCAUAAGAAGCACAGGCUCUCUGAGCUGCUGACGCAGCAAAGACGGAGGAGUGCUUGCCUAGUAUGCUUGAAGACUGGAGUGGAGGAAGGGAGAACAGAAGUUCAAAAUCAUCCUCCGCUGCGUCCUUAGAGCCUAGAAUCUCAGACUCCAUCCAAAAUUGGCAUGUUUACGAGGUCUCUUUAUAUCGUGAACUUGGGAAGAACUGAUCAGUGGGCUGGCAGAGCUUGGACCCCCAAGUGGAGCAUGCCUCCAUUGUUUGUGAGUUCUGUCUCAGCUCAGAGUGGAUGGGCGCACAGUUCCAGGGGAGCAAGGAUGUGUGCAACAGAAACUAGUGUUAGCCACACUUGUUCAUCUAGGUGGAUCAUCUCCAGAGACUGAAGAUAUCAGCAGGGCCUAGGAUAUCUGGGCGGCUCCUUCUCCUUCUGCUCCCAGCCCCAAAUCUAACCCUUCAAUAAGGUUACUGGGAAGAAGGUUAAGCCCAUUUAUUUACUUUCUGUAGAUGACUGGUCCAUUUCCUCACACACUCACAAAUCACUCUGUAAAUUAACACAUCAUGAAUACUUAAACAGUGAAUCUGAUUUUUGGAGACUUGUCAAAAACAUGUUUAAAAAAAAACUGCUAAACUAAAAAUCAAAUUUUGACUUAUGAUAUUUCCAAAGAAAAUCAGCUUCUGAAAUGAACUUGUGAGAAAAUAACCAACCAGCAACCCUCUGUCCUUCCCUGGUUAAUGAAACAGGGGAGGCUGCUGUGGGAAGAGGAAAUCAUCCGGGAACUCCAGACAGGGAAGAAGGCUACAUUCUUACCGAGUGGCUUGCGUUAGCAUUGCUGUGGCCUCGGCACACUGUUACAUUGGGGAGAAGAUGUUAAAGUAGAUCUUCAAUGGUUCUUGCUCUUUUGCUGCAUACCUCACAAUCAUGCAUUGGAAUAGACAGAGGCAGCACUAGGAAAUGUCACCUAUACUUUUCAAUUACAAAGGACAUGAAUUUCAGAGGGAGUUGUUAUCCAUAAAGAUAGUAGUAGAACAUUCUAAAUUACUUUUACCUUAAACUUUAAUCUAGAUUGGGUUCAACAACUCAUCUGGUAAAGAAAGUCAUUUGCCACCAAGUCUGACAAUAUAAGUUUAAGUCUUAAAACCCCAUACACAAAAAACAAACAAACAAAUAAAC
ensembl:lincRNA 9330111N05Rik RIKEN cDNA 9330111N05 gene